rnacentral:ncRNA from 1 species
UAUGUAGAGGCGCAAAGAAGAGGUAGUACAUCUAUGCCGGACCGGCAGUUUGAGGAUGUAUCAGGGCGGAUUUGCCGAAGUGAGAAGACUUUAAGGUCAGGUCUUUUUGCUGGGUCUGCAGCGGAUAACUGCAGAACUGUCACCAUAAGGUGGAGUGCUACGUG